CGCAUUGAGGAAUGAGGUCAAUACAUUUCCCACAAUAAAAGACAUGGUUAAUUUUCAGAAGGGGGAAAUCAAGACCAUCUGAAGACCAGCUAAAACAUCUGAAGGACACAAAUACCAAAAUCAACAGAAAUCUAGAUGUUUGCCGAACAUGGUGGUGAAAUCAUACUGUGCUGGCUGUAACAUAAAAUGUGGAAAAAGUGAAGCACUAUGAAUACUUUCUGGAUGCACCUCAUCUCCAUCUGUGGAACAGAUAAACAGCUAUCAUUUCCCCAUUGCUAAAAUGGUUGGAGCAAACAUCAUUUAGGAGUAGUUGGAGCAGCAGAGGCGAAUCCAUCAUGUCCUGGAGUACUGCAGUAUUACCAAAACAAGACCAUCCUGAAGCUUUUGAAUGUGGUUAAUAUAUUGUAGAUUGUGGAGACUAAAAGAAACCGGUUGGACAGCCUCUACAGCACACAUUCUGCUCCAUCAACACUUUGGUCUGUUUCUAUUAUUUUUCAUUAUACAAAAGUGUCUGGAACUUAAAACUUAAU
ensembl:processed_transcript